rnacentral:lncRNA from 1 species
UGUUGUUGUUGGUUUUCCUAAUGAGCAUUUGCUUCUGCAAGCAGGCUUCUUCUUCUGUUAAGAGUCGGCCUUGCUCAAGGUCGCCAUGGUGACGAACUUUUGUUGCCUGAUCGAUAAGAACUCCAACUAUUUCAAUUAGCCCCUGUCUUGCAGCUAGGUGUAAGGCAGUCUCACCGCUCUUAUUGUGCUGCCAUAGUAGUGCGGGACACAUUUCAAGGAUAUCCUUCACAAUCCCGGCUGACUCCAAUGUGUUUUGUCCAGAUGUCGGCCUGCUUAAGCACGCUAUAUAAACAAGAAGGACCGUGUUAUUUGUUGCAGUCAGUUUUAGGUCAAGAUGUUCUGCAUGUUCCCUGAGGGCAUCAAGGUCGCCUUGUUUCGCAGCACGAAACACAUCCAGUUCCAUGCCACCUAUCGAAACUGUAUUAUUGGCUUCUUUAGUAGCUCCCUCCUUAGUCUGAACUGCUAAGUGGUCAGUACUACUAGCACUCUCGGCCUGAUCAGUUGAAUGGGAAUGAUCCAUUUUUUGAUAUUUCGUUAUUACGUGCCUAGACAAGGGGAACUUUUGGCCUAAUACAAGUAUAAUCAGAAAGAACUUGCUGAUCUUUGACUGGAUGAUGGGAAUUUAAAUGAAAAGGAACAAUGGAUGAGAUUUGAGAGACUCAAGAGUGAAGAGUAAGCAAGGAAUACAAGAUGAGAUAAUUUAUAGAGCAGGAAUCCAAUGCAAUGCCACACUUCUGCAAAGACUGCAAUAGUACUGCAAUAGUACUGCAAUAAUUGGAGUGACUUUAUCUUUAUUGCGCAUGUCGUUUUCAAUUUUUUUUUUAAUUUUUGCGGGUAAUGUAGGAAGAUUAAUUUAGUUUUUUUCUAGUAUUACUCAUAUUGGUACAUGUCAAUUUUCAAAUUAAUUAAAAAAAAUCUUUGAUGUAUGUCAGUUAUCAAAUUAAAUGAUACCGAAUCUUUAUAUUUUAUUAAAAAUUUAUCUUUGACGGACCCAAAAAAAGAGCCCAGCAAGCAUAGCACUUCCACAGCAAAAGCCCCACUCCCACUGCUUGCCAUGGCUAGGGGUGGAUUUUUUUGCCAAAUUGCCGUGCCAACCGAAUUGCCAACUGUGUCAUACCGAUUUUGUGCCAAAUUUUUUGUACCAAUCGGUAAUGAUACGGUAUUGUACCGUAUCGAAAUUUCAUGGUACGGUAUUGGUAAUGGAUACCAUUACCACGGUAUUACCGUACCAUACCGAAAAUACAAUAUAAUAUAUAAUUUAUAAAUUAUAAAUUAUAUAAUAGAUAAUUAUAUAACACAUAUUUAUAAUAUUCCAAUAAUUUGAAAAUAAAACCCUACUUAUAUUAGCAUUGUUGUUGGUGACUUUGAUCUCUUGAAAUUGUGGAAAUCAAAUACAAAAGAAUUCCUAAUUGUUUCACAAAUAGCCAAAAUAUCUUUCUAACCCCCACUUCUACUGUUGCUAGUGAAGUUGCUAGUGAAAAUGCAUUUAGACUAGGGAGGAGGGUUGUGGACCCUUUUAGGGUAUCCUUGACUCCUAAAAUAAUGGAGGUACUAGUGCAUACUAGUGGUUGGCUUAGGGCAGAUGAAGUAAACUUCUACAAGGAACCAACGGAAGAUAUGCUUCAAUUUUACAAGAAAAUGGAAGAAGAGAAAACAAGAAAGAUAUGCUUUAAUUUUUUUAGUAAAUUUGUUAUUAAAUGGUUUUCAACUUUAAUUCUUCUUGCUACUAAUUAAUAUGUUUUCUUUGUUUGUAAUGUAGGCUUGACACAAACUCAAUAUUCUACAAAUUCAAUGCCUCCUCCAAAAGCUUCGACAUCUCAAGCUUGAAUAAUUGAUCAAUGAAUUCUCCUUUUUGAAGUUUACUUCCAAUUUUCAUUUGGUUUGAAACUUUAAUUUCUAAUUGGAUUGUUAACUUUUAUUUGUUUUGGUUCGUAACUUCUAUUUGGAUUGUAAGCUUAAUUUUCAUGAUGAAUCUUGAUGCAUCAUUUGAAUUAUUAUGUGUGUGAAUUGUGAAUGAUGAAUUUAAUCUAUAAUGUAUGAGAUAAAGGUACAAAAAAAAAAGUUUUGCCCUUGAAUUGGGUUAAAAAAACAAAAACAGAUUUUGUCCCAAAACAAAAUGGCAAUUACCAUUGCCAUACCAUGCCAACCGAACUUUUGACAAUACCGAACUUCGGUAUACCGAAAGUUUGGUACGGUAAUGGUAAUAUAUUUUACCAAACCGAAAGUUUGGUACGGUAAUUAGUACAAGGGUUUUGGUACGGUAACCGUACCGAACCCACCCCUAGCAAUGGCUGCCGCCCCUCCUUACCCAAAAUUUUUGCUUAUUUCCUCAUCUGAGUUGCAGCAAUUUAUUAGGUUUUCUCCAUUUUAGUUUAUGGAAAAAAGAAAGUGAUUGGACUUUAAAUCAGAUGAACCAUACAAAUCUUAUUUUUAUCCAAUCUCAUCAUCUUCAUCAACAAAAAUGUUCCAACAAAUUCCACGUAUCAGGAAGAAAGCGAUGGUGAGAAGAUUAUGGACAUCAUGGUUCUUUUUCAUUGGAUAAUACAAAUUGGCUGUUUCUACGCCUCUAUUGAACCUGAAAAUUUUGUACAUCUCAAGCACUUGGAAGGAGACUAAGAUCAUCUCCGGAGAUUUGCCUCCAGAGCCAACAUACCCAUUAAUUAUGGACACUAAAUUUAAUCGUCUAGCCAUGAAACCAGAGGGGAAAGGGUGCAGGCAAUGAGAGGAGGAGGACACGGGGAUGGGGUUGGAUAAUGGUAGUCAUGGAGGUGGGUGACUGCUUUUUUUUUUUUUUUUUUUUUUUAAAAGAUACGAUAGUUACUUUCAUUUCAUCAUAAAUUUCAUUACAAGAGUUUAUCCAUUUCUAAGCAUAGAGCUAGCACAGUCAUCCACAAGUAUAUCAGUUAUAAUACUAGGCGGAGAAUCAAUCCAUUCACAACUUUGCAUCAGAGAUAGUCUAACUUUGCAAGGUAGUGAGCAGCAGCGUUCGCAUUACGAUGAAUGUAGGUGAUAUUUGCUUCAGUGAUUGUGUUGAGCAGAGCUUUGUAAUCCUCCACAACUUGCCCAAUGAUUGACAAAUUAAGAGUAAGAUCCCUCAGCGCCUCUACAAUCUGAAGCGAGUCAGUUUCAAUAAUAAGGAAUUGAUAGCCCCUAUCAAUUGCCCAUAGCAAACCUACCUUCAUUGCCAUAGCUUCGGAGAGCAAUGGGGAGCAUAUAUCUUUAAAGCUUCCAGUACGAGUAGCCACAAAACACCCAUCGCUGUCUCUGAUAAUGGCCCCGAAUCCUGCAAUGAGUCUUCCUACAUUCCAGGACCCAUCAAUAUUCAUCUUGAUUCGUCCAUGUGGUAGGACACUCCAUCUGGGGGUGUUUCUCAGCCUACUAUCCUGUUCCGAGCCUGCGUUUUUGGUCCUAGUAAACUCCAGCCACCAUUGGAUGGCACGAUUAGUGCAUACCUCAGGUGGUUCCAGUUUUUCCUCCCAGAGUUUCAUGUUCCGUGCCCUCCAUAAUGUCCAAUAGACCAUCAGAAAAACAUUGAAACGUGCCUUGGGUAUAAGGUCAGCCACUUCAUCGAUCCAUAUCAUAAAGGAAGGAGGAUGAUUGUUUCUCAAAAGUGUACCCACCCGCGAGCUCAUCCAUGCACAUCUCGCAUAAUGGCAAUCCUUCAUUAGAUGAAUGGUAGAUUCAUCAUAGGCUCCACACAAUACACAUUCCAUAUCCAUGGUAAUAUGUCUUGCCACCAAAUUGGCCCUAGUAGGAACCAAUUCAUUGGCAAUUCUCCAUACGUAAAUUUUGACUUUUGGUGGUACCUGUGCAUUCCACACCUUCACCCACACCUUAGCUUCAUCACCAUUUGAGGACGAUGCCCCACAAUUUGUGGGUUGUAGCCAAUUCCUUGCCACAUGGUAAGCCGACUGGACCGUAAAUCUUCCCUGUCUUUCAUGGUGCCACAACAAGUGAUCCGGUGGGUUUCGUACACUUAAGGGGAUUGUCUGGAUUAGAUUUACCUCAUCUUCAAAGAAGAGGCUUUCAAGCACAUCAAUUUUCCAACACUUUGCAACGAGAUCAAUCAACUUGUUCACCAUUGUCAGCGUGCAUCCUACCGGUUUGGGAGAAUAGGGACGAAAUCGAGAUGAGAUGGGGAUCCAAUGGUCCUCCCAGAUCCAAAUGGAUAGCCCAGUACCCACCUGCCAUCUUAGACCCAAACUUAAAACAUUUUGUGUAGUGCAAAUACUUUUCCAUACAUACGAUGCUUCAGGCUUCAAUGAAGCUUCCAUAAAAGAGCUAGUUGGAAAAUACUUUACCCUUAGGACCGUUGCAACCAGAGAAUGUGGAUUAGCCAACAAUCUCCACCCCUGCUUUGCUAACGUACCCAAGUUGAAUGCAUAUAAGAACCAAAACCCAAGUCCACCCUCAAUUUUGGAUUACACAGGCGUUCCCACGAGCACCAAUGCAUUUUCUUUUCUCUUUCAUCGCCACUCCACUAAUAGGAUGCAACCAGCUUGUUUAGCUCAUCACAAAAUAAUUUAGGCAAAAGAAAACAGCCCAUGAAGUAGUUGGGGAUUGCCUGUGCCACGGCCUUCACCAACACCUCUUUCCCUACGACACUUAGCAACUUUCCUUUCCAACUCUUUAAGCUCUUCCAUAGACGAUCCUUAAGAUACCUUUAUCAACCCCCGCCGUUCCCGCUAAGCGAUCAACGUAACCAGCUUGUUUAGCUCAUCACAAAAUAACAGAUGAUUAAUCGAUGGUAUUUCUGGACAAAUUGAGAUGCCAUUUAUCAACCCCUGCCGUUCUCGUUGAGCGAUCAACGCUGACAGUCCCUCUGAACACAUAAUAAAUAUAUAUGGUGAUAAAGGAUCUUCCUGGCGUAAUCCACGUGAUGGGAGAAUAUAAACCCCGUGGGCAACCAUUUACCAGUACAGAAUAUGAAAUCGUAGUCACACAGAGCAUGAUGAGUUUAAUCCAAAGCUAAGAGAAACCCAUCUUAGUAAAGAUUCGAUGUAAGAAUCCCUACUCAAUCCGAUCGUACGCCUUACUUAUAUCUAGUUUUAGUGCAAAACCUUUCUUCCCUCGGCACCGUCUAAACAGAUAGUUAUCAAUUUCUGAUGCUAAUAUGGUAUUGUCAGAGAUAUUACGACUUGGCACGAAGGCACUUUAUGUUUGUGAGAUGAUCUUAUGGAUAAUAACCUUAAGGCGAUUCGCAAGUACCUUAGAAAUGAUUCUGAACAGGACAUUGCAUAGACUGAUAGGCCGAAACUGAGUUACUUCCUCUUGUUGUUUUGUUUUAGGAAUAAGGUUGACAUAUGUAAAGUUUAUUUGCUUCAACAAUUUCCUUGAUGCUUGGAAGUUUUUAAUCGCAUUUGUAAUGUCAUCCCCAACGAUAUUCCAAAAUUUUUGGAAAAAGAAAUGAUUCAUUCCGUCGGGGCUCGGAGCCUUAAAUGGUUGCAUCUGAAAGACCGCAUCUCCAACUUCCUCAGUCGUAAUUACUCCUUCUAGUAUGCGAUUCAUUUAUGCCGUUACCUUUGAAUCCACGGCCUCAAUAACUUCAUCAUCCUGAUUAUACCUAGUAGUUUGGAAAAUAUCCUGAAAGUAUUGAAUUAUAGUGCUUUCGAUCCCCGCAUCAUCAUAGACCAAGCGCCAUUUGUAUUUUUCAAUCGUUUGAUCGAGUUCUUUGGCCUUCGGUUCCUAGCACAUUGAUGGAAGAACCGUGUAUUACAGCUGCCAACCUUAACCCAUAAAGCACAUGAUAUCUGCCUCCAAUACUUCUCCUUCUGACCCUAGAGUUGAUCAAGCCGCUACAUUAGCCGGUGCCGUUCAACCAAAACAUCUUCUGUAAGUGGCUGGGCGAGUAUGAAUCCCAUCUUUUGACGCAUUCCAUUAAUUUCUUCUUGUCUCCCUUUAAAUAUUGAUUGCUGCCAUUUCAGUAAAGUUAUUCUAGUGGCUUUAAUUUUGUCACUAUCUGAAACAUCAACACACCAGUACCUGGUUGGUUCCAAGCAUCACGGAUAAUACAUUCACAUUCCUCAUGAUCAUCCCAAAAAUUUUCAAAUCAAAACAUCUUGCUUUUGCGUCUAACAUGGCUAUAUGUUCCAUAUACCUCUAGAAGAAUAGCAUAUGGUCAAAUUUGCUAGGAUUACGUUGCUGAAUAAGUCAUUCCACCUAUCUGUCGCAAGCAUCUUAUCUAGCCGUUCUUUGAUACCCCAUGACCUAGUAGUAAUCCAGGUGUAAGGAGUACCCAAGAACCCCAUAUCAUGUAGAUGGCAGUCGCACAUUGCAUUCUGUAAUGCCAUUAUUUGGUUUAUAGGACGAACUGAACCCCCUUAUUUCUCGUGGAUACUAAGUAAUUCAUUAAAGUCCCCUCCAAUUAACCAUGGAAGAGAGCAACUCGUGACCAAUCGCCUCAUAAUAUCCCAGGAAAUUUGGCGUUCCUCAGUUGCUGAGUGCUCGUAAAAACCAGUGAAUCUCCAAUGAACUGCAUAGCCUAUUGCUCAUAUUUCAGAGUAAAUAAAUCUCUCAGAUGAAGAAAUGAUUCUCAGGUUAAUGUCCCAUGUCUAAAAUAAUCCAAGACCUACCUGACUGUCCAUUUGAACUAACCCCGAACACUCUUCUAAAUCCAAACUUCAUCCUCAAGCCAUUUAGUACCUCCGCCUUGCACUUGGUUUCAUAUAGGAAAACCAAUUUGGGAACUUUUUGCCGGAUAAUAUCCUGCAACGCUUGAACUUUCUGAGGGUUCCCAAGCCUUGGGUAGUUCCAAACUAGUAUAUUCAUGGCUGUCAGUGGGGCUGAACAUCCUCAGUUUCCACCGAUGAUACAAGUCUUGUUGUUCCAUUUCCUCUGCCCAGUAACCCGCAUCUCUUUGCUUCUUCCAUUUCUUUUGAAGGACUAACCACCACCUCGCACCUUUGGCUUUCCUGCUGCUCGAGGUCAGCAUAAUUGGUCACCGUGGAUCUCCCCAUUCGAUUACCUCAUUUGAGUCUAGAGUUUUUCUUCUUCAGGUUUGAGAGAUGUAAUGGGCGCCCAUAGUUAUGGUAUCUCAGUGUCUUUUGCUUCUUAGUUGGUGGAGUAAGGAGCUCCACGUCAUUUAUCCCUCCUUUUUUUGGAUCUUCCUUUUGCUGGGUAUUAACCUCAUCCAUUGGGCCUUGGUUAUUUUCCCCAGUAUCCAUUACUUCCUCGCUAGAAUCCACCUUACUCCGGAAGUCAACAUUUGAGGCCUGUACCAUUUGGGCUACCACCACUAGGCUUUAAGCGUUCACAUCCGAAAUGUUUGUUCCUGGGGGGAAACAAUCCUUCACAGUAUAUUUUGUGGGCUUGGCUCGCUCCGCAGCCAGGAGUAACCCAUUAACAUUUUCAAAAGCCCAGGGGGGAAUCCUUUUUGGGUCACACCAAUUUUUCUCCAGAGAGAGCCCGUUAAUAGCAAUAGUAAGAGUUCCGUUUGUAAAAUAGGUCUCAUCACUGUCUAGGUGCCACGUAUGCCUAUAGUCAGGUCGUGUAUCCAAUCGCGUUGUAGGAAUAUGCAUAGCCUCAGAGUUUGUCCCCGCCAAGUGUAGUGUCAUUUCCUGGUUAGGGUGGGAGACUAACCCUGUAGACUUACCUACCACGUCUAUGCAAUUCGGCCUCGUGUCAGUACUUGUUGUCGCCAUGUUGACUUAUUACUCCGCCAUUCGACGUUGCAAGUAUCUGUUCGCCGGGAUAUCCAAUACCGUGUCCGGCAGGCCAUAGAAACCACCAUAAAAUUGUUCCUAUUUUAUUCUCCAAUGGUUCUCUCGGGCCUCGAUCGUCGAUGCUCCCUUUCUUUAUGGAAAUAACAUAGAAUUUGCCCUGGAUGCAGGUGAGGCCCGGAGGUCACUAGUAAAUUGAGUUCCACCUGCCGUCGAAAGUGGCACCAGACGAGGACGCGUACUUGAGUGGCCCAAUCUCCCACAUUGGUAGCAGAAAAUUCUCAAUCCUUCAUAUUUGAAUCGGAUCGUAUAGGAGCCCUAAGCUGGGCAUGACACCGAGCAAAAUGUAAUCAAGGGUCGACAAGCAUCAAAGUCCACUUUUAUUCUCAAGAAACCCCGAAAGCCCACCUCUGCUAGAUCUUCAACUUCAAGAACUACUCUGAUUUUUGCCCCUAGACUUUUAACAUUUUUCAAUGUACAGUAGUUCUUGGGUAUCCCAUGAGCUUGCAUCCAAUAAACAGCUUGAUCAGCUUCAAUGUCAUCAAGAGAAUGAAAUGAUGGCCAGAACUUCACAGAAAAUGUAUAAUCCCUGAUAAACCAGAGGUUGCCUUCCAAAAUUUUUCUAGCGACAUGCUCCUCUCCAACUGUGAUGGCAUAUAUAUUCGCUUUGGCCCUUUGAACCCUGACCACCCCUAUUUUGUUCCAGGCUAACUUGAAAGUCUCCUUUACCACCAUUUGGGAAGGCUCAUUAUCAGCAAUUAAUCUCCCCACCAAAUGGAUGUUGUUAUCAAAUAUUUCCUCCAAGUCUAAACUGUCUUCAAAGGUAAUAUUAAGGCAGUCCAUCAUCUCUUCCUCGAUAUCCAUAUGAACUUUGAAAAGAAAGACCACCUAACCCACAAAUACUCACAGUAGAGAUAUCAGAAUAAGUAUAAAACUCACAGCACGGAAGCUGGAGUUAGUAAGAACCCACGACCUGGAGCCAGAGUUAUAAGCCAAUAAUUUUGCAAAUUUCAGCUACACAUUUGAUCAAACAGGUGGUGUGCAUGCGCGGGGGAAUUGUUCUUCACCACUUUCUUCUACACCAAUGUUCUCUUAGACAACACUAUUGGAGUGUACCCUUUUCCUUGCUCUACUUCUCACCACACCUAGACCUGCAAUUCCUCUCUGGAGGUGGGUGACUGCUGAGUGGUGAAGAUGUUGAUAGGAUUAAAAGCACACCACAAAGUAGUACACAAAUGUCCUAUUGAUUUUCCUUAUUAACACUAAGAUUUGUCAAUUGUAGCAUAUGAAAAAUAAGGGUAUUUCCCGUAGAAGAUUGUUUUAUCUAACUACUUAAAAUGUCACAAAAACUGGGUUGCUGUUCCUACUGACCAGCUAUCGAAAAAUAAUUAUUAGACUAACUUACACUUAUCUAAAGUCUACGAAAUUUUAUAUGAAGACACUAGACACACAGAGCUACAAUCACACAAAUUUUUGGAGAUGAUUUACUAUUUAAAUUAAAUCGAACAAAAACAGGACAGAAACAAAUUUCAAGUAGUUCACAAAUUAAGACAAACAAGUUAGGGGAAUUACUAUCCACCACCAAAUAAUCAUGCAAACAUGUUAUGUUUCAUUCAAAUUCCUUUUAUUUCCGAAUGAAGAUGCUCAAGUUGGCUCAAUGUUAAAACUCAAUCUAUUACUCUUUCUUAUGUAGUAUGUUAAGAGAAUGUCGUUUUCAACUUAACUUAGUCCCUAACAAGCAAUCUAGAAUGACGUGUUCAUAGAUUUAACAAGUAGAAAUCAUUAAGAACGAAAAGAGUUUGAGUCAUCACAAUGCAUCGUAAGUACUGGCGUUGUCUUACUUAUCCUAUAAAUUGGUUCACAUGUUAAUCGCAAUUAACAAGUACUACUCUAGAACAUAUGUAGGUCCUCAUUCGACAAGAGCAGGCACACAAAUAUUCAUAGCAUUAGAAUCAUAGAUAUGCUUACUAAGUAUGCAUCUGUAGAAAACACAUAAAUAAUUCAUCACUGAGACAAGUAGUGAACCAAUUUUCAUCAUUUCAUAAAAGUAAUUCAAACAAAAUGUCAUAACAAACUUACAAUCAUAUUCGGGGCUUCAAAACAGCCCCUAACUACUAAAAAUUUAGUUACACAUAAUUCUCAAAUAAAACCAAAAGAAAGACAUGAGUUUGAGAAGAUAAAACCGAAAGAAGAGAAUGCCAAGAUAUCCUCCUUUCCUUUUCUUCCUUCCCCAACGCUGCUGCCUUGCCUUUUUUCCUUCCUUUUCGUUGCAACCUGCAGCCUUGUUUUUUUUUCUUUCUUUUUUUUUCAAAAUUAUUUCUAUAAAAACUGCCCUUUAUUUCCUCCCCUAACGCUGAUUUUAAACCAAUUAUUGCUACAUUCUUUUUUUCUCCAUAACUCCCCCCACUAAUAGCAAUUUCGUGAUGACAAUAAGUGAGAGAAAAUGGUAAAACAAUUGUAACUCUUUGGGCAACCUUUAUGCCAAUUACUCCCACUUAAUCCUCAUCUUUAAUUCCAUUUCCUCUGAUAUUUGAAUAAGUGUCAGCUGGCUUGUUCUUGACUGCAUCAGUUUUGGCUGCUAGAUUUAUUGAGUUUAUUGCUUUCAUUGCAGUUACAAACUGCUCUGUCUCUUGUGACCUUUUUAGUGUUAAAACGGCCAUAACUUCUUUCAGAAAAAUGAUAUUAGCAAUCCAUGAAAUGCUUCAGAAAAUAGACAUCGGUAACUUUCCAAGCAUAUAAGGCUCAUUCUCUAAUUCAUUCUGAGCUGUUCGUAACUUGCUUCCAAAGUCAGCUGAUCUACAUAGACUGUUUAGACGAAUUUGUUACUUAAAAUCCCACUUGUGCUAUUUUUCUUUUCUUUGCUUGACAAAUCCCACAAAACACAAAAACAAAGUAAAUAGCUAAAAAAUAUAAGGAACUAACUAAGAAAAGACAAGUGAAUUUGAUGUAAAAUAUAUAUAAAUAUGAGCUUAUCAGAUGUGAGAGAAUUCAGAGAUGUGAGUGUUGUGCGUGAAAAAGUAAAGAAUUUUUUUUGCUGUAAGAUCUAAUUUCAAACGAUUUGGAUUUUAUUGAUCCUCCCCUUCUGGAAUAACAUUGAUCUGAAGGAUCCUCCUCCCUUGAAAGUAGAGACACCAUCAGAAAAUACUAUCGUUACCGCUCAAAAUUUGCAAGUCAAACUCAAAUGGGUGUGCAUGCUCACAUAUCGUAAGGUUAACAUAGUGAAUAUAAUCAACAACUGUAGUAAAAUGAACACAAGAAUAUGUAGUGGUCUGCCCAUAACAGGGCUACGUCCACUGCAAUUUGUUUAAUAUAUUUCCUGAGAUUAUAAACAGGACUACAUCCGCUACAGUCUAUUACACAAGACUUAGGGGUGGUUUGGGAGUGAGGUGCUUAAAAAAAAACACCCAUGAAAAAAAGCUGUGAGGAUUUUAGGUGUUUGGUAAACUGAAAAAAAAAGAAGGCUUAUUUUGGAAGAUGCUGUGAGAAUAAGCUGAAAUCAAAGGAAAAAGCUGAAGCUGCUAUUUGCAGCUUUGGAAAACUGGCUUUUUUUUAAAGCACACGGAGCUACAAUGCUCAUUUAAUGAAAAGACCCACUAUCAGACUACUUUUUUUUUUUUUUCCAAAAGCACUUUUACCAAAAAAGUUUACCAAACACUCUGCUGAUUUAUUUCACAGCCGCUUAUUCUCACAGCAGCUUUUUUUUCAAAGCACAACAAUACCAAACCAGCCCUUAGAGUUUUGAUAACUCAUUGGAAUGACUUUAUGAAAUAUGUCAAAUUUACUCUCAUUGUGGAACACACGUGAUAAUUUCGCACGACAAACAAACUAUGUUAGGGAUAUUUUCAUAUUGCAACAACUAGGAAACUACAAUGAUCAAAUUCGAUACAACUGAAAAUAUAUUAAACAAAAUUAAAAUUUUGGGUUUAAUGCUAUGUAUUAUUCAUUUCUACGGAUGUUUUAACUGUCAAACUUUUACUAGGAUUUUGAAUCUCAACCAUUUAUUCCGUAAUUCAAUUAUACGAUAUUUAUAAAAAAAUCCAACUCAAGAACUAUAGUCAUGAAUCAGAUUUGGAAUAGGGCUCUAUUUGAUUGGACCAUUUGGUUUAUCCCAACUGGCUAGGGGUUACUGGAUUUUUAGAACUUGGGUCUGUAGACUUACCCGGUUGCAGAGAAGCAUCGAAAAUCCGAACGAUAAGGUGUUUUUCAGACAUGGGAGAGGUAGUAGAAAUACUGCCGGAGCACCGGAACUUGUUCGCAGAAUACUAUAUGAUCGUCGUCGCUUUCCAAUUCUUCUCCUGUGGAUGAGUUAAAGAGGUAAUUUUUCCAAAAUUUUUCCGUAGAAAAAGCAAUCAAUCAGAGGGGGCGAAUCAAAGGUCUUAAAUUAUUUGUGAAUUAAUAUUGUGAAAAGAGUGUUAGGUGCCUCACAUCUUGAAGGAGAAGCUCCUUUGAGUAAUGCAGUGGAGAAAUUUAGAAUUUUCCUCCGUGGAUUUUUAUUUGAUUUUAGAUUUUUGAGUGCUUGCAAGCAGCUACUACGCUCCCAGCAGUAGGGAAUAGACCCGGUAAAGGAAACAAUCAGACUGGGAGAGGUAAUAGAAACCUAAACCGGAGCAACCGGAGCUUGUUAUCAGCUCCGAUUGUAUUCAUUAUCGUCGCUCGCUUCCAAAUUCUUCUCCAGCUAGAGCAGUUAAAGAAGGUAAUUUGCUCAACGAUUUUUCACUUGCAUUCAAACAAUUUAAUCGUAGUUUGGUGCGAAUUUAAGCUCUUAAUCAUUUGUUUGAUGCUUUAACUGCAAUGUUGUGUGAAAUUAAACUAUAUUUUUGGGUGUUUUUUGUGUGAUUUUGUGUUGGCAGGGAGUGAAGAGUGCUACGGCACCCGAUUGCGGGAGAAAUUAAAGACAUCUUAAAGGAGGCAAGCUACUCGUCGCAGUGAGUGAUUUUUAUUGGUCAAUCAUAUUUUCCCAAUUUUUCAAAAGGAAUUUUAAUGCUGGCAAGUUUGAGCCUUGCAUUGCCGUAGCCAAAGUAGCUUUUCGAGUAGUUUGGAUUUUAGCAGUGUGGUGAUCUUCAAGUUGGAAUCCACAUUUCGUCGAGCAGUUGCGCAGUCUGCGUUUUCUCGGAGUUUGCAGUUGCUAAACAAGGAAAAUUUGCAAAUUUAUUGCAUAUAUUUCAAAUAACUUAAAUUCUGGGGCAAAUCUCAUCCAUUUGUUUUUAUACGAAAUAAUGCAAAUAUACAUAACUAUUUGGGGUUUGUAUGUAUCCUUUUCGUCCCACAGAGGGUAAACUAUAUUUAAAGUUGGGUCAAUAUUUGUUUGUAUAUUAUACACUUUUCAGAUAUUUAUUUUAAUAAUUUGAAUCAUAAUAAAUAUUUUAUGCAGAAUUUUCUUGGGUAAGUAGUUGGUUCCAUGGUCGAAAGAUUUACAAUACGACCAGAUUUGUUUUGCUUAAUUUACUUGUAGGAGAUUUUUCAUAGACUUUGUGUAAUUUUAUGUUGAUUGUAAGUUAAAUGCUAAAGUUGGAAGCCUGAGCUUAUUUUCUUAUUUCUAUACAGGUUGGACAUAUGUUGUGCUUCUAAAUGUUGUGCUGUUACCUGGUUCUUAAGAUUUCUCUGUUUACAUCCAUUUCUUGCGAUUGUAUCUGGAGGGCCUGUAAAAAGGAGUUGGUAUUUGUACCGAAGUCCAGCUCUUCUUUUUAAAUUUAUUAUUUUGAAAGACAGUUUAUGUUCUGACAAGGUACUGUUCUGUGCAGGCAAGAUGUUGUGCAUACUGGACAUGCGGGGCUGGAAAAGUUGUAAAAGCCUAUGUUUAGGCAAAUGAGCGAGUUAUACUUUGGAUUUGUUCUUGUUUCAGCAAGAUGAUAUCAUGGAGGGCUGGAGGAGUUGUAAAAAUAUUUGUUAUGGUAAAUAAAGUUGAGAUUACUUGAUUGUUAAUUCUCAUAUCGUUUAGGUGCCAUAUUGUGUUCUUGUAAGCAAGUAAAUGAUGUAAACAACACUAGGUACACUGUUACUUUCGUGUUGAACGCUGCUGAUGUUUGCAUACUACUUAUCUUGGGUCAGAAAGAAAAGAGAUGGUCUUUGUUUAGCAUGCGAUAUAAAUCAUCUUAAAUAAAGGUUUGAAUAUUGCUUCUGAUUCUCUGCAGGUAGGAAUUAUUCCUUGGUUGAUAUUAUCGACCAGGGUUAGCAAGUUUGUAUGUCGACUUGCCAAGUUCUAGAGGUUAGAUGAUUUCUGUCCUGCCAAGUUUUCAUACACAUGUUAACGUGGUUUUGUUUUGACUAUUACUUCACGAUAUCUUUAGUCAUGAACUUAGGAUUGUUACCUGCUCAUUUAAUUUGUAUCAGUGAUGUGCAGUACUAUUUUGGUCGUCUGUGUAAAUUGAGUUUAUUGUUUAUCUUAAAAAACUAACCUCUUGAAAAACCCUUUCUUUGAAGUAAUUUAUUAAAAUCCAGCAAAAUAAUGUGAUGCUUUUUAUGUUUGGUAAUCAAAUGCCUAUGCGAUCACCGACAACCAUGCCCAUGAUGGAAUUAAUAGUGGAUCCAAGAGAAAAUAAAGAAAUAUGAUACUUGGAGCGCAAGACUUCAAUGCGAACUCAAACUCACAAAUGAGAAGAAAGGUACGACAAAUAUUAUUUAUUCUCUAGUAGAAUUGACCGGAACGCUCUUAAUUAAUUGAGCGCUGUGCCAAUUUUGUUCAUAUCGCAUUGAAAGUAUGAUGCGGGUAAUCCCAUGGUAAUAUGCAUCUCAUGUACUUGAAUGAAAAAGAACGAGGAAAUUUAUGCCUGAACAUUAUUCUUGGCACAUCUAAUACUAGUAUCUUGGCGACCGGAAUAUUCAUGGAUUUAGCCAAGGCAAAGAAGAAAAGGCAUCCUAGCACACAAGUAGCGACAGCAAGUCCUGGCGAACGACCACUCGGUACCACAUAUGUGCCGGUAUUGAAUGCAACCACCAUUGCCAUUAAGGCAAACAAAGUAAAGGAUAACGAAAGCAUUCAAUCAAAAAUUCAGAAAUCACACCAAUUCCCAUAAUCGAAAGCAUUCAAUCGAUAAUUCAGAAAUCAUACCUUUAAUCAAUCAAUCAUACUAGCGUCCACUAGCUUAAGUAUAGCAUGCAAGGUAUGCUAGCAUCAACUAGCUAAACUCACUACUGGUAAUAAUCAAUAAUGCUAGUGUCUACUAGGUUAAAAUAUCACUUGCAAAUAAUCUGUGGCCGAGGAUAGUUAUACAACAUAUAUAAGAGAUCAUGUGGUGAAAAUAAAUCACCAAUGAUCUCAAGAUAUCAUCAAAUAUCAGCAUAAGUCUCAUCAAAGACCAACAUAGUAAUAUGCAUCCGCAUAUAAGACAUAUUAUCUAUAUACUAAAACCCGGUAGAAAAGCACUGUUCAUGAGCAGUGUAAUGGCUAAAAUGCCCUUUGAUAUCUUCUUUGUUGCCCUUCGUCUUGUACACAUCUAUAUAGUGUAAAAAUGUUUAGUUUUUCAAAGGGGUCCACUAGCAGGUAAGCAGAGCCUCCUUCCCCAAUAGGCUCCUUGCCUAUAUCCUUCAAAUGGCACAUGCAAUGGUGUGGCUAGGUUCCUCUCAUCCUAGAGAUUAAGAUUUCGAGUUUUUGUAGUUCGAUUUGUGAAGGAAUUAGGGUGGUUCUCUCUCACGGUGGUAGAAAGAGAGUUGAGUUCGAGAGUGUAAAGAGAGAAUGGAGAGAGAGUGAUUUCAGCUGAGGAAAAGAGAGAGGCCGAGAGUCAUGUAAUCUCACUUAAACCCAUUUAAGUAAAAUUACAAAAUUGCCCUCUACUAGUUAAAAUUACAUUUAGGCCCUCAUGAUUUCGUUUCGAUUUACAGCGCUUCAACGUGUAAAACCUACUGUACGAUAUAAUAAAGGUUAUGGAAGAUCACAAUAUCAAAGUACGCCAGGAUUUCAGACUUUCUGAGUCGACUGCUAAUAAAUUAUUCUUAAGUGGCAACCCACCCGUUCGUGGUCAAAAUGGCUCAAGUUCAUAUUGGUUUCAGGGUAACUAAAUAUAACAAGACUUGCUUAGGAUCAACGUGAUAACAAAGUUCUCUCUUACACAGAAGAAUACCGAAUUAAUUGAGGUGCGUUACAACUUAUUACACAUGUCAACCGAGUACCUCAGGUCCAGCAACUUCCAAGUUGCUCGUUACUGCAUGUCCUCCAUGGAAUAGGUGUUGGCGACGCCAGUUAAGUAUUUAGUUUCUUAUUUCGGAAGUAGAAAAUGGAAAAGAGAGAACUUUGCAAAACGCCAAUACAGUAGAAGAUGAGAAAGGUGCAGCCAGGAGUCAGCAGCAAAGCUGCCCAAGGUGCUAUCCCUGAGAUGAUAUGGGGGAGCUGAGACCCAUGUUAGGUGGUGCAUAUUGUGCGCGUAAAUCUUGUUAAAUGCACCAGACACUCGAUUCCUGCCUAAUACGCAAGAUGAGGCCCAUCUAGGUCAAGAGACACUGUUGCCUAUUGCACAAAUCUGUGUCUCCGUCUUGGUACAAAUGUGCGUCGAAAUGGAUGUGUAUUUUUGUCACGGCAAGUAAACUCCUCACCGUUAUGAAAAGGAGUCAUCCUAAGUUGGAAGCCAUGAAGCAUCGUAGAAAUCGAUAUCUAGAGAACAUAGGGCCAUGAUUGCUAAGUGCUGAGUUAUAUCCACAGCUUCGAAAAACUAGAUAUGUUCUUUAGAACAAGGUUCCUGUCGUAGUAUUCUUGGACAGACAAGGUUAUGGGGGUAAACUCGUGGGGCUAUCCGGUCUCCUUUUUUUUCGCAUCUUGGGAUCCACAUCGGGGCAAUAGUUAUGAGGAACCUGCUGAGCCAUUGACGCUCUGAGUUCUUACCGAGUUGCUCGCCUCCCUAAUUCGUAGCCCACGAAACUCGGAGUUUUCUUUUGCUUUAGAGAUAUGACACUUUCCUCUGCAUGCAUCCUUGCGUGACUAUCUAUAGAGUUUUUCGCUAUCGUUCACCUUCUAUGCCGACUAUGGGCACAUUAUUUGUGGGUGAUUAUUCAGAGUAUUCUUGAGCUCUUGAAAUGGUUCUACUCUAGUACCCUGUUCUGAAAUUCGAAGUAGAUGUCCAUAAAAUUUCCUCAAGUCAGCACGUUAGGAACACUAAAAAUACUACUUUAAUUAUUAUCAUUGGGUUCAAAACAAACCCAUCUCCGAGAGCAAUUCAUAUACAGUGUAUGUUGCGGACAGAGGUCGACCAAACUGAAUGGCGUGAGCACAGUGCAGAGAAUGAUGAUUUUAUAACCGUUCCACAAACUACGGUGCUGAGUCAUCGAUGAAUGUAGGCAAUGCGAGAAAAGCGGUUAAGUUUGUGUGCAUCUAAGAUUGACACCUGAACACCAAUUCCAAUCAGAGGCUUUCACAGUAUAGUCUCAGCUAGAGUCCACUAUCGCAAAUAUGGGUCAGUAAAUGUAGACAAGCUAAAGAGCUGGCUAUAGGGUGAAUGGAUGGGUGGUGUGAUCACCAUGCCAACAUCAGCGCUUUAGCCCAUUUCCAAACACAAAUGACCAAUAAGUUGCAUAAUGUACCGGUUCACAUGCAAAUGGAAAAUUGCCAAUUUGGCAAUGUAUUAACAUGAUGUGGACUUUUUGGCCUAAAUUAAGUGUGCCAUGUGUGGGUGGGAGAACUAUAUCGUACAUGAUUGAUGUUAUGGCGGAUUAUUGGUAAAGAAGUGCUGAUUACGUGACUAUUGUAAUUACAAAUCUAUUCCAUUGCUUCAGAACAGCGAAAGCAGCUGCAGUGUUGUAACGCUACGAAGACUAUGGCAAUUCGGAAUGCAGAAGGGCAUCUUGAGCAAACGGAGGGCCGUGUGGCUUUUCAACCAUUUGGAGAAAACAACAUACAUCCUCCUCUUCAUACCUUUAAUUUGGACACUGGAUCGUAUUAACUGUGCCUGUACGGAGCCCUUGUCAAAGAAAUAAUGACCCAAGAGCACCGUACUGACCAUGAUUUCGGCUUGUUCUCACCUGGAUCUUGUUUGAUUGGGUCAACAAGUACAAGUAGGGGCGUACGAAAACAUGAACAUUGUAGCUAGGAUGAGAAAAACCUGAACCACCUGAGGUACUAUGCAGACUAAGUGUCUUAGACUGCACAUCCAGAUUGGGCAGUGGAGUCAUUACUAGCGGACAGACAAAACGUGCUGUUCGAACCUGUGAAAAGUAGGCCUAGAUAAGAGACACCCAGACGAGUUGUCCUACCCACAUGACGAAUCAAGAUAUUGAAUGUCUGAAUUAGAAACUCAUUCAGAUCGUGGGCAUUAGAGUCAGAACAGCGAUGGUUGUAUGUGUGCGGCUAUCGGGACGGAACUUUAAAGGAUAUACUCAACCAUCUUGCUCAUCCGACAAGCUAUGGCAUGAGUAUUCUGCUAGGGCAAUUGUAGAUAGGGCUAUCAGGUUCACUUAGGUUUAUGUGGAACACUGGACUCGCUUACGAUGUAGAGCGCUAGUGGAUUUUACUCUAAUUGUCGAAUGCAUUGGAAAGGUUGGGAGGCUACAAGCCUGCUCAAGCAAAACACUGAACAAAUAUCACCUACAUUCAGUCGCGAAGCGUAUGCGAACUCGACGAUGGCUGAACCGGAGACUCACUACCUUGCAAAGUAGACUAUCUCUGAUGCAAAGUUGUGAAUGGCAUUGAUGCGCUCCGCUAGUAUAUACCUGAUAUACUUGUGGAUGACUGUGCUAGCUCUAUGCUGCGUUUGGGCGAAAAAUGGGCGACAAGACUGAAGGAUUCCUUGGUGAUAACUAGGAGUUUUAUGAUGGAAGACAUGAAAAAAGGUGUGUGAAGUAAGUGGCAAGUUCUUUCGCUAAAACUUGACACAGAUAACGAAUAAAAAAAAAAGCAGUCACGCACUCCAUAGACCUGAACGAUUAUUCGAAAGACCCAUCCGCCGCCGAAGUUCACUCCGCCUGUUACAGCUUCGCCUCAGAGCGCGCUCCGCCCACCGCCCGUGUGCUCAGUCACGCACGUGGACGCCUGGCUUUCGUCUAUUCUGGGCUCAAGAUCCAUUCGUUGACUCCCCUCUGGUUUCUGCGAUUUGGUCUUAGUCUAGUAGAUUAAUAAUUUCUCUCCGAGUCUCAGUUCCCAAUUCUUAAGCAUAUGAGACGUAACAAUAUACACGUGGAAACAACUCAGGAUAGGCAAUAAAUCCCGGAAGAGUAGAUAACAUUAUAGCUCCACCUAUUACAACAUGUGAUUUUAGAAAAAUGUACAAAAUUUGUAUAGUUCAAUAGGAGGGCAAGUGUAAACAAGCCAUAGCCUUGUAACUUCCAAUGAAUAAAGACAACAUUGUACGUAUCAUAAUUUCUCUCACCUAUUUGGUUUUUUCAAUAACUGUAUAUAUUUUAGAUUGGCACACUAAUUUGUUUUGAUCAAUAGAAUGAGAUUUGGAUUAAAAAUAAAGGACUUGAUAUGGUUCAUCUGACUUAAAGUCCAAUUCUACUAUAUAGACGUUUAUAUUGAAAAUUCAGCCAUAAAGUAUAAAAAAUGUGAGAAAAAUAUAUCUAUAUAUACAAAUAGCACCCAACACACUCAGGUAACGAAGGAGCAAAGAAACUGAAUGCGAUUAAAAAAUAUGUAGGUGUAGACAAGCAGGGGUGUGACAGUGACCCAUUGGGCCUUAGGGGUUAAAGAAGAGAUUCGAGUACGCAAUAUUAAACCGUACAAACCCUUGACAAAUUUACCAAAUCUUGAAAUUUGUGACCUAAAAACAAUUCUAGAGGUGGAAGAAAAAAUUACUAGGAUACCUAUACCUCAUCCCACAGGCGUGAAGAUUACCAUCAAUUAGGAUACAAAACUUUCGUUAAAUAAUUUAAACACCGCGAAGCGGCUAUUGUAUAAAUUCAGUUUGAAGCAAUGGAUACUGGCAUGAGUAACUUGCCCAAUUAUUGGUUUGGGGAAAACACUGUUUUGGUUUUUUUUAACCCAAGUCUCACAAGGGAAAAUCUUUUAAUAUUUAUCUUUAUCUCAUACCAUUUAUCAGACUUAAAAAUUUCUAGAUUUCACUAAAUUACAAACAAUAUAAAUACAUAAGAUGCUCAUAAGACUUAUCGAGAAAAUUAGAGGCUUACAAUCCAAAUAGAAUUUACAAUAAAUACUAAAUAGAGGAGUUAUCAAGAUACCCAAUAGAAAUUAAUAAAGUUUUUCAAAAUCACAAAUGAUAAAUUGGAAUAUACAUUACCCGAAUAAGGUAGAAAUUCAUUGUAUCACUUACAAGCUGACAGAGUCGGAAGCAUAUAGGAGAGAGAGCAUUGAUUGUAGAACUAUUGAGUUCUGGGUAAUAGGCCUACACUUACAAAAAGCAUAAACCAAAAAAACUAUAUUAAAUUAGAGUAGAAGAACAAUUAAGUUGAAACCAUUUAGGAUACAAAUUACCACUAAAAAAUAAAGCAUAUUUUUCCUUUGUUUUCUCUUCUUCAUUUUCUGUAAAAAUUAGAACAGCAAUUAUCAUUUGUGGCCCGUUGGUGUCCUGGUGAGAUAAGUUUUACUUAUCUAGUCAUUGCCGCGUAAAAGCACUAACCCACAGUGAGGUAUGCAAACGGAGUACAAGGAUAUCACCAGAUUAAUUUUUAGGAGUCAAAGUGUAUACCUCUAAGAAGGGUUGCACACCCUCCCCCUAGUCUAAUGGGCAUUUUUCAUCUAGCAUAACUUCACUAGCACAGUAUGAAGGUGGGUUUAGAAUUAGAUUAUUGUUUGUAUAGUUAUUUUGUGAAACUUUUUAGGAUUAAUUUUCUUUUUUUGUAUUUGGUAUUUUCCUAAUUUCCAGAGUAUCAAUAAUGUUCACCAAUACAACAAUUGUUAUAUAAUGUAGGUUUUUUAUUUUUUCAAAUUUAAUUGGAAUAUUAUUUUUAAUUAUGUGUUAAUAAUUUAUUUUUAAUAUAUAUAUUAUAUUUAUAAAUAAUAUUAUUAAUUGUUUUUCGGUAUGGUACGGUAAUACCUGUGGUAUGUAUCUCAUUACUCCAAUACCUGUUACCAUGAAAUCGAUACGGGUCAAUGACCGAUCAUUACGAUUGUACAAAAAAUAUUGGCCAAAAUCGAGGUAUGAAAGGUUUGGAAAUUGUUGGUCACGGCAAUUAGCAAAGAAAAAAUUCACCCCUAAGCCAUGGCAAGCAGUGGAGUGGGGUUUUGCCUGUGGAAGUGCAUCUGCUGGGCUUCUUUUUUUGGGUCGUCAAAGAUAAAUUUUAUAAAUAUAAGAUUCGGUAUCAUUUAUUGAAUAACUAGACAUACAUCAAAGAUUUUUUUUAAUUAAUUUGAAAAUUGACAUUAACCACAUAUGAGUAAUACUGAAAAAAAACACUAAUUAUCUACUACAUUACCGCAGCAAAAUUAAAAAAAUUGAAAACGGAAAUGCGCAAUCUAAAGCACAAAAUUUAGUUAAGUUGUCAUGCACUCACAUAUUAUAUCAUGCUUCAAGUCACAUUAUGCAGUACAUUCGCCAUGUCUUGUCGCAAGAAGUCAGCUGUGCGCAACUUGCAUUGCGAAUUCCCUGGUCGUCAAUAACUCAAGUUGGAUCUUAUCCUUCUUUACUCUUCACUCUUGAGUCCUCCAAAUCUCAUCCAUUGUUCCUAUUUCAUUUAAAUUCCCAUCAUCACAGUUCAAAGAUCACAAGUUCUUUCUGGAUUACUCUAUUGUUAUUAGGUGGCGCAAAAAGGUGUAUUCCACGUCUUGUCGAGGAACAGCGUGAACAUAAGAAAUAAUUUCAACAAAUGGAUCAUGAUGCCACAUUCAUACUGAUCAGCAGGCCAGAAGAAGCUGCAAACGGAUAAGAUUUUAGUUACUCGACCAACUAGGCUUCGUUUAAGACUAAUCGAGGGCCAGCUAAAAUACCCAAAUUGUGAGUUUUCGCCUGAGAUCAGUUUUUAAGCACGACGUAAGGUAAAACCUCGGGCGGUCUUCUAUUGGGCUCAAUCUCUUUACCACAGCGACAAACGUAUGACAUAUGGUCAAAUCUUGUAACUUCGGACACAUUUAAGGAGAAUGUUUGAAGGCAGUCGGCCACUGCUUGGCGUCGAGACCGUCUAGCCUACUGGGGUGCAUGUAUAGAAUUAAUGGUUUGGUUGUUUUGUGUACGAUUAGUUAUAACCCAAACAGUGAUUUGCGUUACCGAAACCUCAUUGGCGGCACCUUUUGAGGCAUGACAGACCGACCUAGGCUCUUCUUCUGUUAAGACUCGGCCUUGCUCAAGGUCGCCAUGGUGACGAACUUUUAUUGCCUGAUCGAUAAGAACUCCAACUAUAUCAACUAGCCCCUUUCUCGCCGCUAGGUGUAAGGCAGUCUCACCGCUCUUAUUGUGCAGCCAUAGUAGUGCGGGACACAUUUCAAGGAUAUCCUUCACAAUCCCGGCUGACUCCAGUGUGUUUUGUCCGAAUGUCGGCCUGCUUAAGCACGCUAUAUAAACAUGAAGGACAGUGUUAUUUGUUGCAGUCAGUUUUAGGUCAAGAUGUUCAACAUGUUCCCUGAGGGCAUCAAGGUCGCCUUGUUUCGCAGCACGAAACACAUCAAGUUCCAUGCUACCUAUCGAAACUGUAUUAUUGCCUUCUUUAGUAGCUCCCUCCUUGGUCUGAACUGCUAAGCGAUCAGUACUACGAGCACUCUCGGCCUGAUCAGUUGAAUGGGAGUGAUCCAUUUUUUGAUAUUUCGUUAUUACGUGCUUAGACAAGGGGAGCUUUUGGCCUAAUACAAGUAUAAUCAGAAAGAACUUGUUGAUCUUUGAGUGGAUGAUGGGAAUUUGAAUGAAAAGGAACAAUGGAUGAGAUUUGAGAGGCUCAAGAGUGAAGAGUAAACAAGGAAUACAAGAUGAGAUCAUUUAUAGAGCAGGAAUCCAAUGCAAUGCCACACUUCUGCAAAGAUGCC